rnacentral:rRNA from 1 species
UACGGAGGGGGCUAGCGUUGUUCGGAAUUACUGGGCGUAAAGCGCGCGUAGGCGGACCUGCAAGUCGGGGGUGAAAGCCCGAGGCUCAACCUCGGAACUGCCUUCGAUACUGCGGGUCUCGAGUCCGGGAGAGGUGAGUGGAAUUCCUAGUGUAGAGGUGUAAUUCGUAGAUAUUAGGAAGAACACCAGUGGCGAAGGCGGCUCACUGGCCCGGUACUGACGCUGAGGCGCGAAAGCGUGGGGAGCAAACAGG